GGGAAUGGGGGGAGUGAGGUCUCAGAGUAACAGCUUCGCACGUCCACACUAUCCACCUCGCUAUCAUCGUCAUCCCUGCCUUCAAGACUGGUGACAUCGUCGGGAACGCCACGACCAACCAGAGAGGCGGUGUCUGUCUGAUCUGAGCGGGAAUCAUCUUCGGAAUAGAUAUCAGAGCCGCUGAGGGUCGCCCAGCUCUCGCUGAGUGAGCUACCUGGCCGCUCCAGCCUAUUACUCUCUGACGUCAUUGCUCCAGAGUCCGGACUAGAAGUGGGGAGUUUUGGGAACCGAAAAAGAGGCGGAUGGUUAUUGUCCUGAUGAUGGCUGUGAUUAUGAUGUUGGCAAUGCUGGGACCUGCUGGAGGAAGCAGACUCGUCCGAGCCAGGCAUUUCUUGCGUCGAGUGCUGAUGGAAAGGAUAGAUGAGGUGUUGGAUGGAUGAUGACAAGAUGGGGUGGGGUCGGAUUAACGCUUGGGCCGUGGAGACUUAUAAUUAGGCAGGCGUUGGAGCCAGCUGGAACCUUUUGUAGUUAGGCUCGGCUGGGCUAGUUGGCGCCGCGGUUGACGUGGGCUAACUACCUUCUCGUCGGUACUCUGGAGAGUGUGAAAAGGAUAUUAUUGAGAGAAAGACUGUUUGGCGAAAUCCAGAAGGAUUCGAAAGUUCGUUUGCACGGCGCAUUACUAAUUUAGAUCGUUUAAUUUUAUCAGCACAU
rnacentral:sRNA from 2 species